rnacentral:rRNA from 1 species
CCAUCGCUCAACGGAUAAAAGCUACCCCGGGGAUAACAGGCUUAUCUCCCCCAAGAGUUCACAUCGACGGGGAGGUUUGGCACCUCGAUGUCGGCUCAUCGCAUCCUGGGGCUGUAGUCGGUCCCAAGGGUUGGGCUGUUCGCCCAUUAAAGCGGUACGCGAGCUGGGUUCAGAACGUCGUGAGACAGUUCGGUCCCUAUCCGUCGUGGGCGUAGGAAAUUUGAGAGGAGCUGUCCUUAGUACGAGAGGACCGGGAUGGACAUACCUCUGGUGUACCAGUUGUCGUGCCAACGGCAUAGCUGGGUAGCUAUGUGUGGACGGGAUAAGUGCUGAAAGCAUCUAAGCAUGAAGCCCCCCUCAAGAUGAGAUUUCCCAACUUCGGUUAUAAGAUCCCUCAAAGAUGAUGAGGUUAAUAGGUUCGAGGUGGAAGCAUGGUGACAUGUGGAGCUGACGAAUACUAAUCGAUCGAAGACUUAAUCAAA